rnacentral:rRNA from 1 species
AUUGAACGCUGGCGGCAGGCUUAACACAUGCAAGUCGAACGAGUGGCGGACGGGUGAGUAAUGCUUGGGAAUCUAGCUUAUGGAGGGGGAUAACUACGGGAAACUGUAGCUAAUACCGCAUACCAUCAGAUGAACCCAUAUGGUAGUAGCUUGUAGGUGAGGUAACGGCUCACCUCGGCGACGAUCCCUAGCUGGUCUGAGAGGAUGACCAGCCCAACUGGGACUGAGACACGACCCAUACGCCUACGGGGGGCAGCAGUGGGGAAUAUUGCGCAAUGGGGGCAACCCUGACGCAGCCAUGCCGGGUGAAUGAAGAAGGCCUUCGGGUUGUAAAGUUCUUUCGGUAGAGAGGCGUUAACUACAGAAGAAGCACCGGCUAACUCCGUGCCAGCAGCCGCGGUAAUAC